UUACGCUGUUAUCCCUAAGGUAACUUAGUCUAAUAAUCAAUAAUAAUGGAUCUAAUAUUCAUAAAUCAAUGUAAUUUAAAUAAAAAAGUUAAUUAUAUAUUUUUGUCACCCCAACAAAACAUAAAAAAGUAUAAAAAUAUUAAUAUAUAAAUAUUUAUAAAAUUUUAUGUAAAGAUCUAUAGGGUCUUCUCGUCUUCCAAUAAAAUUUUAGCUUUUUAACUAAAAAAUUAAAUUUUAAAACAAAUAAAAUGAGACAGUCAGUUCCUCGUUAAACCUUUCAUUCCAGCCCUCUAUUAAAAGACUAAUGAUUAUGCUACCUUUGCACGGUCAAUAUACCGCGGCCGUUGAACUCCUCACUGGGCGGGUCAGACCUUCAAUUAAAUUCAAAAGGACAUGUUUUUGUUAAACAGGCG
rnacentral:rRNA from 1 species